AUGGCUAGGGUUUCGGGCAUGGCUUCGUCGGUGUGUCUCCGAUGGUCCCAGGUUCGUCCUUCCUUCCUUCUUGGCCGAGAUUUGCUGCCCCUACACCUCACCUUCUCUUCAUAUCCUCUGCUGGAGAUGCAGUUGGGGCAUGCCAUGGAGUUCCCCAUCCACCACGGUCGCCGCCGUCAAAGGAUUCUUCAAGGAGAUGUCAAAGACGCCAUGGACAUGUAG
rnacentral:rRNA from 1 species